UACGUAGGGUGCAGGCGUUAAUCGGAAUUACUGGGCGUAAAGCGUGCGCAGGCGGCUCCUUAAGUCAGAUGUGAAAUCCCCGGGCUUAACCCGGGAACUGCGUUUGAAACUGAGGAGCUCGAGUGUGGAAGAGGGGGGUGGAAUUCCAGGUGUAGCAGUGAAAUGCGUAGAGAUCUGGAGGAACACCGAUGGCGAAGGCAGCCCCCUGGGCUAACACUGACGCUCAUGCACGAAAGCGUGGGGAGCAAACAGG
rnacentral:rRNA from 1 species